GAGGUCUAAGUUAUGGGUGAGAAGUGUCUGUAAGUGCCCGCUGGGGACUAGCCUUAUUGCAUUCGGUGUAUUCCAGGGAGCAAGGAUCAUUUUCUUCUGCCAACAUGCUUUCUGCCACCUGUUCUGUUCUUGUAAUCUUAAUACUCAGAGAGACCAGUGGAGACUCAGUGAUCCAGACAGAAGGCCCUGUUACCCUGCUUGAGGGGACAAGUGUGACCCUGAACUGCACCUAUCAGAGCAGCUACCCUGCCCUUUCCUGGUAUGUCCAGUACCUCAAUAAAGGUCCCAAGCUACUACUGAAGAGCUCAACAGAGAACCAGAAGGUGGAGAAUCAAGGGUUUCAGGCUGAGCUUGUGAAGAGGACCAGCUCCUUCCACCUAGAGAAAUCAUCACUCCAAAUGUCAGACUCAGCGGUGUACUACUGUGCUGUGGGUGACACAGUGGGACAGGCUGCAGGGGGAGCUGAGCACAAACCCAGUGGGCUGCAGGUGGGGCCUGGCUGUGGGCAGCCCCGGGAGGCAACUUGUAUUCUCCCCCUAAGCAGUGAGAGAAUAUAA